UAGGGAAUCUUCCGCAAUGGACGAAAGUCUGACGGAGCAACGCCGCGUGAGUGAAGAAGGAUUUCGGUUCGUAAAACUCUGUUGUUAGGGAAGAAAAAAUGUAUAGUAACUAUAUACAAAAGAGACGGUACCUAACCAGAAAGCCACGGCUAACUACGUGCCAGCAGCCGCGGUAAUACGUAGGUGGCAAGCGUUGUCCGGAAUUAUUGGGCGUAAAGCGCGCGCAGGUGGUUUAGAAAGUCUGAUGUGAAAGCCCACGGCUCAACCGUGGAGGGUCAUUGGAAACUAAUAAACUUGAGUGCAGGAGAGAAAAGUGGAAUUCCUAGUGUAGCUGUGAAAUGCGUAGCGAUUAGGAGGAACACCGGUGGCGAAAGCGGCUUUUUGGCCUGCAACUGACACUGAGGCGCGAAAGCGUGGGGAGCAAACAGG
rnacentral:rRNA from 1 species